rnacentral:tRNA from 1 species
UGAGGAUUAGAGUAGUAUGGUAUCUCACAAGGCUCAUAAUCUUGAGGUCACGGGUUCAAAUCCCAUCUCCACCA